GACAGAGGUCCCGAGCGUUAGGCGGAAUCACUGGGCUUAAAGCGUGUGUAGGCGGAUUUGUAAGUACCUUGUGAAAUCCCACGGCUUAACCGUGGAACUGCUUGGUAUACUGCUUAUCUUGGGCCAUCUAGGGCUACCGGAACAAACGGUGGAGCGGUGAAAUGCGUAGAUAUCGUUUGGAACGCCAAUGGUGAAAACAGGUAGCUGGGGAUGUGCCGACGCUGAGACACGAAAGCCAGGGGAGCGAACGGG
rnacentral:rRNA from 1 species